rnacentral:rRNA from 1 species
AUGAACGCUAGCGACAGGCUAACACAUGCAAGUCGAGGGGUAACAGGGUAGCAAUACCGCUGACGACCGGCGCACGGGUGAGUAACGCGUAUGCAACCUGCCUAUAACUGGGGAAUAGCUCCCUGAAAGGGGAAUUAACACCGCAUAACACUAUUGAUUCGCAUGGAUUGGUAGUUAAAUGUAGCGAUAUAGGUUAUAGAUGGGCAUGCGUGACAUUAGCUAGUUGGUGAGGUAACGGCUCACCAAGGCUACGAUGUCUAGGGGUUCUGAGAGGAAGGUCCCCCACACUGGUACUGAGACACGGACCAGACUCCUACGGGAGGCAGCAGUGAGGAAUAUUGGUCAAUGGGCGCAAGCCUGAACCAGCCAUGUCGCGUGCAGGAAGACUGCCCUAUGGGUUGUAAACUGCUUUUAUAGUAGAAGAAACACAUCUACGCGUAGAUGUCUGCCAGUAUACUAUGAAUAAGCAUCGGCUAACUCCGUGCCAGCAGCCGC